AAUAAAUACAGUUUUAGCACUAUUUAUAUCUAACAUUUGACCGUUCGUCUUAUUUGAAAAAAGAUUAUGAUUAGUAUUUUUAUUGUUAUUAGGUGAUAAAACAUAAAUAGUACUUUAUAUAUGACUAAUUUUUUUAAUAUUUUUUAUAAAUUUUUCAAAUAAGAUUAAUGGUCAAAAUACUGAACACGGAUACCUAUGACUACACUUAUU
rfam:Oryza sativa (indica cultivar-group) chromosome 5, whole genome shotgun sequence.